AUGAGAACCUGCCCUUCGGGGUAGAUCUCCCACCCUUUGUAUACCAUACCAUUGUUGCUUUGUCUGGCCCGACUCUCGGGUCCGCCGGCCCUCGGGCUGGUCAGCGCCGGACAGAGGAAAUCAAACCCUUUUUUAAUUGUCGUCAGAGUACUAUUUAAUAGUUA
rnacentral:misc_RNA from 1 species